rnacentral:rRNA from 1 species
AACGAACGCUGGCGGCAUGCCUAACACAUGCAAGUCGAACGAGACCUUCGGGUCUAGUGGCGCACGGGUGCGUCACGCGUGGGAACCUGCCCUUAGGUUCGGCAUACCUCCCCGAAAGGGGUGCUAAUACCGGAUAAUGUCUUCGGACCAAAGAUUUAUCGCCCUUGGAUGGGCCCGCGUUGGAUUAGCUAGUUGGUAGGGUAAAAGCCUACCACGGCGACGAUCCAUAGCUGGUCUGAGAGGAUGAUCAGCCACACUGGGACUGAGACACGGCCCAGACUCCUACGGGAGGCAGCAGUGGGGAAUAUUGGACAAUGGGCGAAAGCCUGAUCCAGCAAUGCCGCGUGAGUGAUGAAGGCCUUAGGGUUGUAAAGCUCUUUUACCCGGGAUGAUAAUGACAGUACCGGGAGAAUAAGCGCCGGCUAACUCCGUG